UAAUGUCAGGAUUCCGUUGGACU
rnacentral:siRNA from 1 species